rnacentral:rRNA from 1 species
GACGUAGGGCGCGAGCGUUGUCCGGAUUUAUUGGGCGUAAAGAGCUCGUAGGCGGCUUGUUGCGUCAGCUGUGAAAACCCGCAGCUCAACUGUGGGCUUGCAGCUGAUACGGGCAGGCUAGAGUUCGGUAGGGGAGACUGGAAUUCCUGGUGUAGCGGUGAAAUGCGCAGAUAUCAGGAGGAACACCGGUGGCGAAGGCGGGUCUCUGGGCCGGUACUGACGCUGAGGAGCGAAAGCAUGGGGAGCGAACAGG